GCCUGGGUGGCUCAGUGGAUGAGCACCUGCCUUCAGCUCAGGGAGUGAUCCCAGGAUCUGGGAUUGAGUCCCACACCAGGCU
rnacentral:tRNA from 1 species